rnacentral:rRNA from 1 species
GACGAACGCUGGCGGCGUGCUUAACACAUGCAAGUCGAACGGAAAGGCCCUGCUUUUGUGGGGUGCUCGAGUGGCGAACGGGUGAGUAACACGUGAGUAACCUGCCCUUGACUUUGGGAUAACUUCAGGAAACUGGGGCUAAUACCGGAUAGGAGCUCCUGCUGCAUGGUGGGGGUUGGAAAGUUUCGGCGGUUGGGGAUGGACUCGCGGCUUAUCAGCUUGUUGGUGGGGUAGUGGCUUACCAAGGCUUUGACGGGUAGCCGGCCUGAGAGGGUGACCGGCCACAUUGGGACUGAGAUACGGCCCAGACUCCUACGGGAGGCAGCAGUGGGGAAUAUUGCACAAUGGGCGGAAGCUUGAUGCAGCAACGCCGCGUGCGGGAUGACGGCCUUCGGGUUGUAAACCGCUUUCGCCUGUGACGAAGCGUGAGUGACGGUAAUGGGUAAAGAAGCACCGGCUAACUACGUGCCAGCAGCCGCGGUGAUACGUANGGUGCGAGCGUUGUCCGGAUUUAUUGGGCGUAAAGGGCUCGUAGGUGGUUGAUCGCGUCGGAAGUGAAUCUUGGGGCUUAACCCUGAGCGUGCUUUCGAUACGGGUUGACUUGAGGAAGGUAGGGGAGAAUGGAAUUCCUGGUGGAGCGGUGGAAUGCGCAGAUAUCAGGAGGAACACCAGUGGCGAAGGCGGUUCUCUGGGCCUUUCCUGACGCUGAGGAGCGAAAGCGUGGGGAGCGAACAGGCUUAGAUACCCUGGUAGUCCACGCUGUAAACGGUGGGUACUAGGUGUGGGGUCCAUUCCACGGGUUCCGCGCCGUAGCUAACGCUUUAAGUACCCCGCCUGGGGAGUACGGCCGCAAGGCUAAAACUCAAAGGAAUUGACGGGGCCCCGCACAAGCGGCGGAGCAUGCGGAUUAAUUCGAUGCAACGCGUAGAACCUUACCUGGGUUUGACAUGGAUCGGGAGUGCUCAGAGAUGGGUGUGCCUCUUUUGGGGUCGGUUCACAGGUGGUGCAUGGCUGUCGUCAGCUCGUGUCGUGAGAUGUUGGGUUAAGUCCCGCAACGAGCGCAACCCUUGUUCACUGUUGCCAGCACGUUAUGGUGGGGACUCAGUGGAGACCGCCGGGGUCAACUCGGAGGAAGGUGGGGAUGACGUCAAGUCAUCAUGCCCCUUAUGUCCAGGGCUUCACGCAUGCUACAAUGGCUGGUACAGAGAGUGGCGAGCCUGUGAGGGUGAGCGAAUCUCGGAAAGCCGGUCUCAGUUCGGAUUGGGGUCUGCAACUCGACCUCAUGAAGUCGGAGUCGCUAGUAAUCGCAGAUCAGCAACGCUGCGGUGAAUACGUUCCCGGGGCU